rnacentral:rRNA from 1 species
UAGCUAUGUAGGGAAGGGAUAAGCGCUGAAAGCAUCUAAGUGCGAAGCCCACCUCAAGAUGAGAUUUCCCAUGAUUUUAUAUCAGUAAGAGCCCUGAGAGAUGAUCAGGUAGAUAGGUUAGGAGUGUAAUUGUGGUGACACAUUUAGCGGACUAAUACUAAUAGCUCGAGGACUUAUCCAAAA